GUCUGGGCAUGUAAAAUGGAAUCGAACUGUUCAUGAACGACGUGCUGUUCUCAUUUCUCUGGGAAGAGUAACAGAGGGGCUUGAUAUUGGAGUCCAAGAACACAGAUCACUGUGAGAACCUUCGGUCUCUACUUUCACAACCUGACGAAGGUGUUGGUCCUGUGGAUUACUAAAAGGCCCACAGACUUACUUUCUGAAACGAUUUAACGUUGGCCACACUCGACAUCUCCUCCUUAUUCGUUUUGGCACAUGACUUCAGUGCCUGGUUUUGAAUUCGCGUCAAGUAGCAAUUCUCUGUUUAAUCUUUUGUCUCUGUUUUGACAAGUUUGGAAGUAUUGCACGUGUACACUCUUACAUAUGGAGGUGCUGAGGGCGUGGGGGGUGUUUCAUCAGAGCGAUGCCACCGGGGCACCCUAUUUUAGUUGUUCUGCAAAGGCCCUUCCACGUGAAGGUUCCAGAAAGAACCCUUCAUUUAUUCAGAUAAGUCAAAGGGUUUCAUACAGUACAAAACCAUGAAGGGAUGUUAAGAGAUCCGUAAUAAAACAAUGGCUCCUGAAUGGAAAAGAAUUCUCGCCGCAUGCAAAAGCACAGGAAGAGUCCACUUUUUGUUAAUCUGUUAGUGCCUGGCUAGGUGGCUUUCCACACACUAAAUAU